rnacentral:rRNA from 1 species
UCCAGACUCCUACGGGAGGCAGCAGUGGGGAAUAUUGCACAAUGGGGGGAACCCUGAUGCAGCGACGCCGCGUGGGUGAAGGAGCGUUUCGGCGCGUAAAGCCCUAUCGGCAGGGAAGAAGGAGGACGGUACCUGACUAAGAAGCCCCGGCUAACUACGUGCCAGCAGCCGCGGUAAUACGUAGGGGGCAAGCGUUAUCCGGAUUUACUGGGUGUAAAGGGGGCGCAGACGGCAGCGCAAGCCAGGAGUGAAAGCCCGGGGCCCAACCCCGGGACUGCUCUUGGAACUGCGUGGCUGGAGUGCAGGAGGGGCAGGCGGAAUUCCUGGUGUAGCGGUGAAAUGCGUAGAUAUCAGGAGGAACACCGGUGGCGAAGGCGGCCUGCUGGACUGCAACUGACGUUGAGGCCCGAAAGCGUGGGGAGCAAACAGGAUUAGAUACCCGAGUA